UACCUUUGACUGUGUAAGUCAUAGAAUGUUCAGGGCUUAUAAUGACAGCUGAAAACACUCCUCAUCAUAACUAUACUGGCAUGACUGCCGGGAUAAUUUCUGCCUGAUUUCUCAAAGUAGUACUAAUCUUAAAUACACUACAGCCCCAUUCACAAGUUAUGUUCAACAUCUGUACGAGUAUGAAGUGUACACAGGUACAGAUUGGACACAGGAACAGUCAUUCACAUAUUCUGUUGACAUGUGACAGAUAUAACAGUACGCUUCCUAGCUGUACCAUGCAUUUGAAGGGUCUGUACUUGGGUCCACUUUUUAAAUAAAUGCAGUUAGUCAUUCACACAAACACAUGUACGAGUGUACAGACAUCUUUACAUUCGUACAGCAUAAUGUCUGGAUUGGGCUUUAGUUAUGCACACAGUGGGACUUACUUCUGAGUAGGCCCAAUAUUGUUCUCUCUAGCCCCAUGAAAUAUAAGUAUUAGGAAAAGCUUUCCACAUGUCUGCAAUCUCUGCAUGGAAACAGAGUGAAUAUUAUAUCUGUCUUUAUGAUGAAUUUGAUGUCAUACAAAUGCCACCAAUGCUUUUUAACAUCUACAUGAAACCGCUGGGUGAGGUCAUCAGGAGAUUUGGUGCAGGGUGUUAUCAGUAUGAUGAUGACAUCCAAAUCUAUUUCUCCUUAUCAUCAUCAUCCUCAUCCUCAUCCUCAUCCUCAUCCUCAUCAGGAAAUGGUAUUCUGUCCCUAAAUGCCUGGCUAUUGAAACAAAUUGAAACUGAAUCCAAGCAAGACGGAGGUGCUGCUCAUCGUGGGGGAUUGAAAUCUGAGGGAUGAGUUAGAUCUUCCUGUGUUGGAUGGUGUUACACUCCCCCAGAAGGAACAGAGUAUUCGAGAGGAACUACCAGCAUGUCCUGGCUAUGCUGCUUGCCAUCAAUGAGAUCAACCAGAAUCCCCAGCUCUUGCCCAAUAUUACUCUAGGCUACAGCAUCUAUGAACACUGUUUCAGCGCAAGGAAAUCUUAUGAGGCCGCAAUAGAUCUGCUCUCUACUGGCCACUGGACGGUCCCCAACUUCAAGUGUGGGAGGCAGGAAAAACUGUUGGCUGUCAUUCAAGGAGGGGACUCUGAAACCUUUUUUCAGAUGACAUCUAUGUUAGGCAUUUACAAGGUCCCUCAGGUAUGGAUGGCAGUGGGUACCAGGCUGAGCAAACCUGAAACCCCAGUCUGCAUGUUUUAAUGGCAGUCUCUUCAGAAGUGUGAAACUGGGGCCAUUUGUAAUUUGUAAUCUUUCACCCCAGUUUAGAUGUUUUCUAUUGGCAUGCACUAAAGGGGAUUCUUGCCUGUGCGAUUCAAUAGCAGUAAAGUAAGUAAAGUUGUGCCAUCAAGUCGGUGUCGACUCCUGGCGACCACAGAGCAAUGUAAUUUUCUUUGAUAGAAUACAGGAGGGGUGUACCAUUGCCAUCUCCCGUGCAGUAUGAAAUGAUGCCUUUCAGCAUCUUCUUUUAUUGCUGCUGCCCAAUUUAGGUGUUUCCCAUAGUCUGGGGAAUGUAAGAGUGGGGAUUCAAACCAGCAAACUCUUGCUAGCUAUGAGAGGAAAACAUGAGGGUAUUUAAAAAAAAAAAACAUGUUGGAGAAAUAUCUUGUUUCAUUUCUUGAGGCACAAUAACAGAGAAUUAGAUCUUGUGUGUCAUUGUUAAUCACAAUGAUUAAGAAAAUAAAAUCGAAGUCCUUA